rnacentral:rRNA from 1 species
GACGAACGCUGGCGGCGUGCCUAAUACAUGCAAGUCGAGCGAAUGGAUUAAGAGCUUGCUCUUAUGAAGUUAGCGGCGGACGGGUGAGUAACACGUGGGUAACCUGCCCGUAAGACUGGGAUAACUCCGGGAAACCGGGGCUAAUACCGGAUAACAUUCUGAACCGCAUGGUUCGAAAUUGAAAGGCGGCUUCGGCUGUCACUUAUGGAUGGACCCGCGUCGCAUUAGCUAGUUGGUGAGGUAACGGCUCACCAAGGCAACGAUGCGUAGCCGACCUGAGAGGGUGAUCGGCCACACUGGGACUGAGACACGGCCCAGACUCCUACGGGAGGCAGCAGUAGGGAAUCUUCCGCAAUGGACGAAAGUCUGACGGAGCAACGCCGCGUGAGUGAUGAAGGCCUUCGGGUCGUAAAACUCUGUUGUUAGGGAAGAACAAGUGCUAGUUGAAUAAGCUGGCACCUUGACGGUACCUAACCAGAAAGCCACGGCUAACUACGUGCCAGCCGCCGCAGUAAAAC